rnacentral:snoRNA from 1 species
ACUUAACAAGGAUGUCAUAAUUUCCAAGCACAUAUCUGACAAUUCUGUGUGGAAUUGAAGAAAAAGUUGGGU